AGAAAGUAUCAAAAUUAUCUUGAGUGUUUACUUGUGUUUUAGUCACUGGGUUUUUUUUAGGGAUACUUGUUCCUCCACCACGUGUUUCCAGCAGUUUAUGGAUGACAUAUAAGCAGUGCUCAGGAAUCCCUGCCAAGCUCUGUACACCUGGCAAGUAUGAAAAGAGCCCAGAAGGUAUCUUUGCCAGGUAGAUAAGGCCACAACAAUUAGUGGUUGAAAACAGCUGACAAAACAUAAACCCACAAGGGAUUUUUCAGCUCUGGAAUAUCAGAUGUUGGACGAGCAUCCAUUUCCCAUCUCCUCCAGAAAUAAGAGAUGAGGGGAGUUACAAAUAGAGAAGUUCCCCAGGAGCUGGUAAGUACUGAUCAGCACGGUGAGUUCAGCACCCCAGCCU
rnacentral:lncRNA from 1 species